rnacentral:tRNA from 1 species
UCAGUUUUAGUAUAAAUUAAUUACAAAGGUCUUGUAAACCUUAAAUCUAGCAUUAGAGGCUGAU